UACGUAGGGGGCUAGCGUUGUCCGGAUUUAUUGGGCGUAAAAAGCGUGUAGGCGGCCAUGUAGGUCCGGUGUGAAAACUCGAGGCUUAACCUCGAGAUGUCAUCGGAAACCAUUUGGCUAGAGUCCGGAAGAGGAGAGUGGAAUUCCUGGUGUAGCGGUGAAAUGCGCAGAUAUCAGGAAGAACACCAAUGGCGAAAGCAGCUCUCUGGGACGGUACUGACGCUGAGACGCGAAAGCGUGGGGAGCGAACAGG
rnacentral:rRNA from 1 species